rnacentral:lncRNA from 1 species
CUCCGCUGAAUUUUGACAGCCAUCUCCAGGCUUGUAACUAAAAUGAGGGUCCUGAAGGGGGGGGGGUCGUAUUCCCAUUUCCCAGCCCAAAUUUUGACUAAAUCCCUAUGGGCGUACCGGGCGGGGGGGGGGAGCCCCCCCCCAGUUUGUUGGACAAACAAAGCCAGUCGGGCAAUAUUCGCUUCACAGUCGGGCAACAACGCGGGCACAAUCCGAAAAAGUGGGGCAAAUUUUUUCCGCCCCCCCCCUAAUUUUUUCCUUCCCGUACGCCCAUGUAAAUCCCAUUGUCCCAGAGCACAAAUCCCAUCAUCUCAGUGGCUGUCCUGCUCAAAUCUUGAUCCCAUUCCCAUUUUCUAUUGUUUUUUUGCUGAUGAAUCCCAGUCCCAGUGCAUAAAAUCCCAUUUUCCCACCCAAAAAUAAGCAAAUCCCAGUUCCCAUUUUACCCCUUCAGGACCCUCUAAAAUGUCACUCACAGUAUUCAUUAACGUACGUUUAUAUCAAACGAGAGCGUAUUAAGAAAUCCACGUUGAUCACAAUCGAUCUAACGAUUCAUACAAUUGUGAAUUCAUAAAUACGAGCCAGUAAAAAUAGGAUUGUUUUGUCGUAUGUGUGACUCUAUC